GACGAACGCUGGCGGCGUGCUUAACACAUGCAAGUCGAACGGAAAGGCCCUGCUUUUGUGGGGUGCUCGAGUGGCGAACGGGUGAGUAACACGUGAGUAACCUGCCCUUGACUUUGGGAUAACUUCAGGAAACUGGGGCUAAUACCGGAUAGGAGCUCCUGCUGCAUGGUGGGGGUUGGAAAGUUUCGGCGGUUGGGGAUGGACUCGCGGCUUAUCAGCUUGUUGGUGGGGUAGUGGCUUACCAAGGCUUUGACGGGUAGCCGGCCUGAGAGGGUGACCGGCCACAUUGGGACUGAGAUACGGCCCAGACGCCUACGGGAGGCAGCAGUGGGGAAUAUUGCACAAUGGGCGGAAGCCGGAUGCAGCAACGCCGCGUGCGGGAGGACGGCCUUCGGGUUGGAAACCGCUUUCGCCUGUGACGAAGCGUGAGUGACGGUAAUGGGUAAAGAAGCACCGGCUAACUACGU
rnacentral:rRNA from 1 species